UACGGAGGGUGCAAGCGUUAUCCGGAUUCACUGGGUUUAAAGGGUGCGUAGGUGGGCUGGUAAGUCAGUGGUGAAAUCCCCGAGCUUAACUUGGGAACUGCCAUUGAUACUAUCAGUCUUGAAUACCGUGGAGGUCAGCGGAAUAUGUCAUGUAGCGGUGAAAUGCUUAGAUAUGACAUAGAACACCAAUUGCGAAGGCAGCGGGCUACACGAAUAUUGACACUGAGGCACGAAAGCGUGGGGAUCAAACAGG
rnacentral:rRNA from 1 species